rnacentral:miRNA from 1 species
AUGUAGCGAGCUGAGUGGGGAGGAGAGAGGGACAGAGAGCCUGCUUGCUUUAAAGGAGCCAACCGGACAGGAGCCGCUUACACUCAUGUAAGCGGCUCCUCUCCUCUCCCGCUUUGCUCCUUUAAAGAAGCAGGCUCUCUGUCCCUCUCUCCUCCCCACUCAGCGGCUCUUCUC